rnacentral:rRNA from 1 species
GCCAGCAGCCAUAUCACCAUUGCAGCUCACAACAGGCAAUCCACUGAAACUAAGAAAGAGUGAGUCUGGUCAGUACCUGGAAGGGAGACCUCCUGAGAAAACCUAAGGUUGCUGCUU